rnacentral:rRNA from 1 species
UGAGGAAUUUUGCUUCCAAUGAGGAAGACAAAGGCUUGAAUGAAAGCAAAAUUUCCAAAUGUCCUCAGGGGCUCAAGAAAGCUAAAGGUUUAAUAAUUCCGUUCCAGGGGUAGGGGAGCGUUCUAUUCGCAGCGAAGUCAGACUGUGAGGUCUGGUGGAGUGAAUAGAAGUGAGAAUGCCGGUAUGAGUAUGCGAAAAGGUGAGUGAGAAUCUCACCCGCCGAAAACCUAAGGAUUCCUGGGGAAGGCUCGUCCGCCCAGGGUAAGUCGGGACCUAAGCCGAGGCGUAAAGCGUAGGCGAUGGACAACUGGUUGAGAUUCCAGUACCACUGAGAAGCGUUUGAGCGAUGGGGUGACACAGAAGGAUAGGUUAAGCGUGCCGUUGGUUGAGCACGCCCAAGCCCGUAGGGUGUGAGAUAGGCAAAUCCGUCUCGCGAAUAAACCUAAAAGGUGAUGGGGAGCGAAAUAAGUAGCGAAGUAACCGACUCCAAGCUGUCAAGAAAAGCCUCUAGCGAGCUUACUUAGUGCCCGUACCGUAAACCGACACAGGUAGGUAAGGAGAGAAUCCUAAGGCGCGCGAGAAAACCCUCGUUAAGGAACUCGGCAAAAUGACCCCGUAACUUCGGGAGAAGGGGUGCUCUAGAGAUAGAGCCGCAGAGAAGAGGUCCAGGCGACUGUUUAUCAAAAACACAGGUUCCUGCCAAUCUGAAAAGAGAAGUAUAGGAGCUGACGCCUGCCCGGUGCUGGAAGGUUAAGAGGAGAGGUUAGCCGCAAGGCGAAGCUUUGAAUUGAAGCCCCAGUAAACGGCGGCCGUAACUAUAACGGUCCUAAGGUAGCGAAAUUCCUUGUCAGGUAAGUUCUGACCCGCACGAAAGGCGUAACGAUCUGGACACUGUCUCAACGAGGGACUCGGCGAAAUUGUAAUACCCGUGAAGAUGCGGGUUACCUGCGACAGGACAGAAAGACCCCAUGGAGCUUUACUGUAGCUUGACAUUGGACUUUGGUAUGAAAUGUACAGGAUAGGUGGGAGACUGAGAAGCUAGGGCGCCAGCCUUGGUGGAGUCACAGGUGGGAUACCACUCUUUUUGUACUGAAGUUCUAACCUAGGCCCCUGAAUCGGGGUUGGGGACCGUGUCAGGUGGGCAGUUUGACUGGGGCGGUCGCCUCCUAAAGAGUAACGGAGGCGCCCAAAGGUUCCCUCAGCGCGGAUGGAAAUCGCGCGAAGAGUGUAAAGGCACAAGGGAGCUUGACUGCGAGACCAACAAGUCGAGCAGGGACGAAAGUCGGGCUUAGUGAUCCGGUGGUACCGAGUGGAAGGGCCAUCGCUCAACGGAUAAAAGCUACCCUGGGGAUAACAGGCUUAUCUCCCCCAAGAGUCCAUAUCGACGGGGAGGUUUGGCACCUCGAUGUCGGCUCAUCGCAUCCUGGGGCUGUAGUAGGUCCCAAGGGUUGGGCUGUUCGCCCAUUAAAGCGGUACGUGAGCUGGGUUCAGAACGUCGUGAGACAGUUCGGUCCCUAUCCGUCGCAGGCGCAGGAAAUUUGAGAGGAACUGACCCUAGUACGAGAGGACCGGGUUGGACGGAUCACUGGUGUACCAGUUGUCUCGCCAGAGGCAGUGCUGGGUAGCUAUAUCCGGAUCGGAUAAGCGCUGAAAGCAUCUAAGCGCGAAGCCGGCCUCAAGAUGAGAUUUCCCACAGCGUAAGCUGGU